rnacentral:rRNA from 1 species
CUAACCAGGAUUCCCCUAGUAACUGCGAGUGAAGAGGGAAAAGCUCAAAUUUAAAAUCUGGCAGUCAUUGGCUGUCCGAGUUGUAAUUUAGAGAAGUGUUACCCGUGCUGGACCGUGUACAAGUCUCCUGGAAUGGACGUCAUAGAGGGUGAGAAUCCCGUCUUUGACACGGACUACCAGUGCAUUGUGGUGCGCUCUCAAAGAGUCGAGUUGUUUGGGAAUGCAGCUCUAAAUGGGUGGUAAAUUCCAUCUAAAGCUAAAUAUUGGCGAGAGACCGAUAGCGAACAAGUACCGUGAGGGAAAGAUGAAAAGAACUUUGGAAAGAGAGUUAAACAGUACGUGAAAUUGCUGAAAGGGAAACGCUUGAAGUCAGUCGCGUUGGCCAGGGAUCAACCUUGCUUUAGUGGGGUGUACUUCCUGGUUGACGGGUCAGCAUCAGUUUUGACUGCUGGAAAAGGCUUGGGAAUGUGGCAUCUCCGGAUGUGUUAUAGCCCCUUGUUGUAUACAGUGGUUGGGACUGAGGAACUCAGCACGUUGCGGCCGGGAUUCGUCCACGUUCGUGCUUAGGAUGCUGGCAUAAUGGCUUUAAGCGACCCGUCUUGAAACACGGACCAAGGAGUCUAACAUGCUUGCGAGUGUUUGGGUGGAAAACCCGAGCGCGCAAUGAAAGUGAAAGUUGGGAUCUCUGUCGUGGAGAGCACCGACGCCGGACCUGAUGUUUACUGACGGAUCUGCGGUAGAGCACGUAUGUUGGGACCCGAAAGAUGGUGAACUAUGCCUGAUAGGGUGAAGCCAGAGGAAACUCUGGUGGAGGCUCGUAGCGAUUCUGACGUGCAAAUCG